rnacentral:rRNA from 1 species
GACGAACGCUGGCGGCGUGCUUAACACAUGCAAGUCGAACGGAAAGGCCCUGCUUUUGUGGGGUGCUCGAGUGGCGAACGGGUGAGUAACACGUGAGUAACCUGCUCUUGACUUUGGGAUAACUUCAGGAAACUGGGGCUAAUACCGGAUAGGAGCUCCUGCUGCAUGGUGGGGGUUGGAAAGUUUCGGCGGUUGGGGAUGGACUCGCGGCUUAUCAGCUUGUUGGUGGGGUAGUGGCUUACCAAGGCUUUGACGGGUAGCCGGCCUGAGAGGGUGACCGGCCACAUUGGGACUGAGAUACGGCCCAGACUCCUAAGGGAGGAAGCAGUGGGGAAUAUUGCACAAUGGGCGGAAGCCUGAUGCAGCAACGCAGCGUGCGGGAUGACGGCCUUCGGGUUGUAAACCGCUUUCGCCUGUGACGAAGCGUGAGUGACGGUAAUGUGUAAAGAAGCACCGGCUAACUACGUG